UCACCGUGCCGCUUAGAUCACACCGCCUCCGGACCAUUUGUGUAAUGUCUGCAGUCAUCAAUCAUCUUCCAUAUUAAACCAGUCUUUUAUGUCGUUUUCACCACACCUCCCUCUCUCAUUAAAUCAGACUCAUCAUUCUCCAAAUACCAAUUGAAGUUUCACUUAUAAAUUUGUUUGUCGCCUGCAAUGAGCAUCCUCACCACUAAGAAAUCAGAAAGGACAACCUCUUUCAAGCACCAACUCCAACAAUAGUGAAUUUGUACAUCCUUCUUACGUCUUUGGCGUCCUAGGCUGAUGAUUCUCAGAAGAAAAAUCGGAUUCAGGUUUCUAACAUUAUGAAACCAUUGUUCUUCUACGUCAAUCUCGCCAAGAGGUAUAUGCAGCAAUACGAUGAUGUUGAGCUGUCUGUCCUUGGGAUGGAAAUAAUGAAGAACAAUGGUUUUCUGUUGAGAAGAGUAACUAUCUCUACAAGGUCUGAAUGCAACAUAUAAUAAAUUUGACGUUUUGGCAACUAAGCUCUGUUUGGGUGAAAAUGGUUUGUUCCAGUUAUAUCGAUCAUGACUUCAACGGUGGAUAUAAAGUAUGACUUAAGGGGUCACCAUGUGCCGAAAGCUAAGAUUGUAUUUGACAAUAGAACCUGAAUUUGGAUGUCGAAUCAACACAGCAAAAGUUGCAAUAAUUUGAAUAUCAAAGAACCCGUUUCAUUUUCUUUUGUGGAGUUCGUAAGUGUCAUGAAAAAUAUCUUCAAACAAAGAGGCAUUGAUAAAAAAAAGAUUCCAAUCUUUUUUUGUGGGUAUCGCUUAAACCAGCUAUAGGUUCAUCUAAGAAAAUUGAGUAUGUGAACUAAUUGAGCUCUGUUGUAUAAUUUUUGUUUGACUCCAGUGUCGUUAAUGAUCCAAGUAUUGUUACUGUGUAAAUUUAAGUGAUACCAAUAUACCAU